rnacentral:rRNA from 1 species
CCUACGGGUGGCAGCAGUGAGGAAUAUUGGACAAUGGGCGCGAGCCUGAUGCAGCAAAGCAGCGUGAGGGAAGAAUGCCCUACGUGUUGUAAGCUUCUUUUAUAAAGGAGUAAAGUGCAGCACGUGUACCAUUUGGUAUGUACUUUAUGAAUCAAGAUCGGCCAACUCCGUGCAAGCAGCCGCGGUAAUACGGAGGGUCCGAGCGUUAUCCGGAUUGAUUGGGGGUAAAGGGAGCGUAGAUGGGUUGUUAAGUCAGUUGUGAAAGUUUGCGGCUCAACCGUAAAAUUGCAAUUGAUACUGGCAGUCUUGAGUACAGGUGAGGUAGGCGGAAUUCGUGGUGUAGCGGUGAAAUGCGUAGAUAUCACGAAGAACUCCGAUUGCGAAGGCAGCUUACUAAACUGUAACUGACAUUGAUGCUCGAAAGUGUGGGUAGCAAACAGGAUUAGAUACCCCAGUAGUC